rnacentral:rRNA from 1 species
UCGAUCAUGCCAGCACUAAUGCACCGGAUCCCAUCAGAACUCCGAAGUUAAGCGUGCAUGGACAAGAGCAAUACUAGGAUAGAUGGCCCCCCGGGAAGUCCCCGUGUUGACCCU